rnacentral:lncRNA from 1 species
CUCUACGAUAGGCAGCACAAUAUGCCAAGAUUUCAUUUAGCUUUGUUCAGAGACCAAGUUGUAGCUGAAUAAAUAGAAAGAAUGACCAAAGGUAGACUAGAGAAAUGCAAACUCGGCUCGUUUUUACCACGAGGGUGGUAUAAGGAACCCAUCUGCUCCUAAGCUGGCUUGAGGCUGACAUUUCUUCAUUGCAGUGGAAUAUUUUACCCUGGAACAGUCUCAGAUUUUUCACCUGAUACACAUUCCAGAGAUCCCUGCACACCUAGAGGGUUUCCUGUCACCCUUCACCAAGAGGAUGUGAAAUGCUGGGAAGACAAAGGUGGAAGAAGAGGAAGAGAAGAGAGGCUGACUCCGUCCAUACCCGUCUCUGCCUUUCCCAGUGGCCUGGGACCCAGCCCAGCUCCUCUAUCCUCACCCGGGUGCCUGCAUGAGUGCUGUGGCUCCUUCCCCCCUCCUUUCUCCUUGGCCUUGGUGUCUAUUCCUUGCAGCACCAGGGGCGUCUCCUCAUGCUGCCCCGUUCCUGCGCCUCUGGGGAGCCUCAGGCCUCACUGCCUCUUUCCUGUGCCCACAGCACCUCCUGUUCCUGCCCAGCUCGACACACCCAGGCCUGAUGACUCCCAGCAUGAAUUCCCAUGUCUCCCACCCCACGGCCCAAAGUCCCGAGCUGGUGCUCAAAGCUUUCCAAGCAUUAGCUCUUUUCUGCCUCUCCAACCUCAUAAUUUGAGUUGCAGCUUCAGAGCAGCCACCCCCAGCCUGGGAGUGCUUCCUCCCCCGGCUCCAGCGUUGCUCAGGGUUAGGGUUAGGGUUAGGUCAGCCUCCGGGCCCCACUUCCCUCCAUCCAGACAGGCCCCACUCCUCACUCUAAUUCCCAAGUCCUGAGACCUCGCUGGCGUUCAUGUAUCACCUGCAUCUCUGGGCCUUGAACAUCCCAGACCAGGAUGGAGUCUCUCUCCUCACCAUUUGGGUGCCAUGUGGGGCUCCCUCAUUAAUGCUGCAUGCCUCUCUGGCUGGACUUCGUCCGUGAAGAUGUGAAUGUCUUAGGAAUGGUAAAGACCUGCCCUCCGCGUCUUUAUAAACUGGAUAGCCUGGUCCCAGCCAAUUUCAGCACUCAGCGCCAUGAGCAAGAGUCAAAAUAGUUAACAACAGCACAGUAAAACAAAUAUGUCAAUCAAUAUAGCCUUUAAAAAUUGUAAAAUAGAUCCCCUUUUU